rnacentral:rRNA from 1 species
GUUGUAUACCAUGCCAUCCUGAACACAACUAAUUUCUUCUGACUUGGGAAGCCAAACAAGAUUGGGCCCACUUAGUUCUUGGAUGGGAGAUGGUAAGGAGGUCUGGCAGAGAGCAGCA